rnacentral:tRNA from 1 species
GAGUCAUUAGCUCAGUUGGUCAGAGCAUCGCUAUUACUUACUUGGCUUGAAGCGAAGGUCGGGGGUUCGAUCCCCUCAUAGUCCA